AUUGAACGCUGGCGGCAGGCCUAACACAUGCAAGUCGAGCGGAUGAAGGGAGCUUGCUCCUGGAUUCAGCGGCGGACGGGUGAGUAAUGCCUAGGAAUCUGCCUGGUAGUGGGGGAUAACGUCCGGAAACGGGCGCUAAUACCGCAUACGUCCUGAGGGAGAAAGUGGGGGAUCUUCGGACCUCACGCUAUCAGAUGAGCCUAGGUCGGAUUAGCUAGUUGGUGGGGUAAAGGCCUACCAAGGCGACGAUCCGUAACUGGUCUGAGAGGGUGAUCAGUCACACUGGAACUGAGGCACGGUCCAGACUCCUACGGGGGGCAGCAGUGGGGAAUAUUGGACGAUGGGCGAAAGCCUGAUCCAGCCAUGCCGCGUGUGUGAAGAAGGUCUUCGGAUUGUAAAGCACUUUAAGUUGGGAGGAAGGGCAGUAAGUUAAUACCUUGCUGUUUUGACGUUACCAACAGAAUAAGCACCGGCUAACUUCGUG
rnacentral:rRNA from 1 species